rnacentral:rRNA from 1 species
CCUACGGGAGGCAGCAGUGGGGAAUCUUGCGCAAUGGGCGAAAGCCUGACGCAGCCAUGCCGCGUGAAUGAUGAAGGUCUUAGGAUUGUAAAAUUCUUUCACCGGGGACGAUAAUGACGGUACCCGGAGAAGAAGCCCCGGCUAACUUCGUGCCAGCAGCCGCGGUAAUACGAAGGGGGCUAGCGUUGCUCGGAAUUACUGGGCGUAAAGGGAGCGUAGGCGGAUAGUUUAGUCAGAGGUGAAAGCCCAGGGCUCAACCUUGGAAUUGCCUUUGAUACUGGCUAUCUUGAGUUUGGGAGAGGUGAGUGGAACUCCGAGUGUAGAGGUGAAAUUCGUAGAUAUUCGGAAGAACACCAGUGGCGAAGGCGACUCACUGGCCCAAUACUGACGCUGAGGCUCGAAAGCGUGGGGAGCAAACAGGAUUAGAUACCCUGGUAGUCCACGCCGUAAACGAUGAGUGCUAGUUGUCGGCAUGCAUGCAUGUCGGUGACGCAGCUAACGCAUUAAGCACUCCGCCUGGGGAGUACGGUCGCAAGNUAAAACUCAAAGANAUAGCGNGNGAGAGCGACGACGACGACGAGGAGGAGAG